rnacentral:rRNA from 1 species
UACGUAGGGGGCAAGCGUUGUCCGGAAUCAUUGGGCGUAAAGAGCGUGUAGGCGGCCAGAAAAGUCCGCUGUGAAAACUCGAGGCUCAACUUCGAGCUGUCGGUGGAAACUUUCUGGCUAGAGUCCGGAAGAGGAGAAUGGAAUUCCUGGUGUAGCGGUGAAAUGCGCAGAUAUCAGGAGGAACACCGGUGGCGAAGGCGGGUCUCUGGGCCGAUACUGACGCUGAGGAGCGAAAGCGUGGGGAGCGGACAGG